GAGAUGGUGAUGGACAGGGAGGCCUGGUGUGCUGCGGUUCGUGGGGUCACAAAGAGUCGGACACGACUGAGCGACUGAACUGAACUGAACUACUUCUAGAACAUGGAAAAAUAGAAUUUAAGAUGCUUAGUUACAGAGUAUUUGUGUGCUUAAGCAUACUGUGUUUGUGGGGUUAGGUGGUGGCAGAGCUCUCCUCAGCAUCAUCCAGGUGAUGCUGUAGUCUUGCUCCGUGUGGAGAAGCCAAGGCUUGCAGCCCUGAAGCCCUGGGCCGGGUCGAGAACUCUCAGUUGUGCUGUGGGUGCCUCAUCAGUAGGUGCCUUGCCACCUUCUGCCCAGCCCAGGAUGCCAGUUUCACUUUCACCGUCUUCUUCCUUGAAGGAAAUGAGGCAGUUGUACACCUCCCUGCCCUGCUUUCUGCUCAUCCCCCGUCCCUGUUGAUCAUCAGCCCUUCUCCCUCCUCCUCGACCAGCAUCACUGUUGUGGGACCUCCUUUCUUUGCAUAUCCAGGUCCCAGGAUCACGUCCACUCAGAGCUGACUAGGACCCCAGAAAUCCCCCAACCUAACGUGCUCUUCCGUGGGUGGGAAUACCGGCCCCCAGAGCACGGGACCUGCCUGAAGUCACACGGGGACCGUUGAAGCCCUCCUCUAAGUUCAUUCUGCAAGCGCCUCCCGCCUCGUCCGCCGUCAGAAGCCCCUUACUCAGAUCUCUGAACUCCGUACUACAUGCCUAGCCUCAGUGCCCCGCAGCCGUAGCCCCAGCGGCCUGCGAGGCUGUCACCGUCCCGACACCAGAGCUCCCGUGCCUGCUCACCGAGGGGCAGGGGGCUGAGCUCGUGACUGCUGUCCUCUGGUUAAACAGGAGCCCUGGAGGGCGGGGAUGGGCAGAGAUGUUACCAGCGCCAUUGGCUGCCGGAGCCAGCACUGUCCUUGCCCAGAGGACGGGCAUUGGGUGGAGCUCACAGUAAGGGUCAGCCAGCCUGGUGAUCCAGAGACAGGACCAGAAGCAAGUGCUGAACGGUUUUGUAGGAAGCACCAUCUCUUAACCAGCCACUGAUGUCUUCUGAGACAAACACAGCCUAGACGUCUCUCGGGGGUUGUGUGUAUGUAUGUGCGUAUCUGUGUGUGUUGGGGUUUGGUGGGGGGCUGGCGGGGGACAGGCAUAGCACAGUUGUGAUUUACCUUUGUGACCUAUCACUCACCCAAGAAAUGGACAGGCAGAGUUAGGACCGACUGCUAAGUGAUGAUUCCAGGUCAGCCUUUACUUUUCUGUUAUUACUAAAGCCAGAAUUUCGGGGUUCCACAGCUAUUGAGAAGGUGUCCUAAGGUGGCAGUCCUCAAGUCUAGGUUUCUUUAUCUAUAAAAUGGGUAUAAUCAGGUCUCAGAAGCCCACCCCAUAAUGUGCUUGUGAAGAGGGUCAGAGGACUGAAUGAAAUGAUUCAGCGACACUCAGGAUGUGAAGCUGACGUGUAAACUGUAGACUGCCACAGAAUAGAGUUCUAAAAUAUAUCUGCACCUGGGGUCAGUGAAUUUCUGCCAAGAACCGUUACCUCAUACUACAUGCAGAGACGAACUUGAGGCGGAUCAUAGGCCUAAACAUAAAAGCCAGACUGAAGAAGUUGGAAAAGAAAAUCUCCACAGCCUUUGGGGUAGGCAAAGAUUUCUUCGAUAGGAUACAAAAAGCACAAACCAUAAAAGGGAAAAUUGGUAAGUUGAUUUCAUCAAAGUUAAAAACUGCUUUUCAAAGGACACUGAUGUAUAAAAAAAUUAAAAAGUCACAGGCUCGAAGAAAAUAUUUUAUAUAUCUGAUAAAGACCUGCACCCAGGAUAUGUAAAGAAGUCUCACAACAAGAGAACAAACAAUCCACAUGUUUUUAUCAGGGAAAGAUUUGAAGGGCCAUUUCACAGAAGCUCUACAAGUGGCCAGUAAGCACAUGAUAAGAUGUUCAACAUCAGUGGUUCUAAAAGAAGUGCAAAUCAAAACCACAGUGAGGUAUCAGUGCACACCCAUAAAAUUGAAGACUCAGUAAAAAUGCUGGUGAGAGUGUGGAGCUCCUGGGCUUCUCACACAUUGGUGUGAGAAGGAAUAGAAAAUGGAAUCAACUCAGAACAACAGUUUGAAAGUUCUGUACAAAGUCAGACGUGACACCAUACAACCUGUCAAUUCCACUUCUAGAAAUUUUGUCUAAAAUAAGUGAAAACGUAUUUAAACGGUGAACAGAUAAACAAAUCGUGGUACGUUCAUGGGAUGGGCUAUUUCUCAGCAAUGAAGAAGGAACGAAAUGCUGAUGAGCCCAGCGGUGUGGAUGAAUCUCGGAAGUAUGCUAAGUGGAAGUCAGACACAGAAACAGCUAGUUUCUCAUGGCAGGAAACAUGACCACCAAUAGCAGUGGAGAACCUCCAUCUUACUGUUUGCAUCACCAAAGAGGAGCCAGCCUUCUUUAUCAGCAUGUGAAAGGACACCAUCAAAGGACAGUGAUGGAGCCUUCUUGAUUCAGAUGUCUUCCCCAAAAGUAAGGAAGCUGGUCAGGAGGCAAGGUUAACAAUUUUGAAACCACUGGAAUGGAACAAAUGAGUCUAUAGAUGGCAGAUGGUGGAGCCAGGAAUCUCCUUGUUGAAGUGGAAGUUUUCAGCGUUUAGGACCAAGGACUUUAGAAUCAGACACCGAGAGGCCUGGCGUGGUCCCUUCCCCGCAGUGUGAAGACGCACGUGAUCUGGUACCAGGGAGCCUGCAGUCUACAUGCCCACAAGCUGCUGGGGCCGCCCCCACAAAGCUUCAGCCCGGUCCCCAUAAAGUCACCCCAUGGCAUGAUGUCACCUUAUCCCUUUUCUUUUCCUGAAAGUCAUCCAACAGCAACAAUAUUUGUUGAAACUGGAGACCAAACUUUAAAUUACUUGGAAGAACUGUCCAAAGCAGUCGAAAUAGAGGAGAAUGAACAGGGGAGACUGUGAGGAGGUGAGAGGCUGCAGACCUCCGAGAAAGCCAGCCAACGUAAUUCUGAAAGUGAGGAACACCCCCUGACGUGCAAAACUGGAGUAGCUUGUUUUUUGCAGUGGGAAGGUAGGAGUUAUCUGCUAGUAUGAGGAGGCUUUACAGAUGGAGUUUGCUUUUAAGAAGCCAGGGGGUGGAGCUAAGUGAGGGAUCACCCAAGCCAGUGGUAUUUGCAGUCUUCCCCGAGAAGCUGUGAAGAUGGAAUCUGUAUGGCAAAAAUAAAACAAAAAAUGAAAUAAAAACCAGCUUCUUAUCUCCACUAGCUGGGGAGCAAUGCAAUGCAGGAGAGCCGGGUUUGAUUCCUGGGUCAGGAAGAUCCGCUGAAGAAGGAAAUGGCAACCCACUCCAGUAUUCUUGCCUGAAAAAUGCCAUGGACAGAGGAGCCUGGCUGGUUACAGUCCAUGGAGUCACAAAAGUCAGACACCACUGAGCAACUAAACCAUCACCACCAAUAAAAGUUAAACAAACUUCUGUGUAAUACCUUGUAUCCUUUUUUAAAAAUCAUUGUGCUCAGGACAGUGGUGAAGCAAUCAAGCAUGCUCCGCAUCUUUGCAGAGUUUUCAGUCUGUUCAGGGAGCCACAAGUUGGUCAAAUAAUUCCACAAAUUGCAAAUGUGACACGGUGAGUCAGAGCUUGGACUUUGGAGGUAGACAAACCCAGGAUCUCGGCCUUGCUCGCCCAUUUAACCUCUCAGAGAGUCGUUGCUCACCCGCCAAAUGGACAAGUACAAUAGCCCUACCUCACAGGGCUGUUGCAAGGCAUGCAAGACACUUAGCGCGGUGCGCAGCACCCAGUGAGUGCUCACGAGAUGCUGGGUUUGCUUUACUGUUUGUACAACUGACCGUAGGUGCAACAAGAGCGGCAGGAGCCCAGUGAAGGGAAGACGGCAUUUGUAAGACCUUAAAAUGGAACGGGCCGGGGAGGUCUCAUUUAGAUGGUGGGUCGUCACAGCUUCCUUGGGGAAAAGCUAAAGGGGACAAAAAGAACAUUCAUCUCCACGAAUUUACCAAAGCUUUGGGAAUGCUUCAGAUUCUCCUGGUACAUGGUACCAGUGUUCUAGCAAAGCUUAGGGGCCAGGAGACCCCCGCCACCAUGACAUAUGAAGCCCAUGAUGAAGCAGAGGCCCCUCACACACCCCGU